GAUGAACGCUGGCGGCGUGCCUAAUACAUGCAAGUCGAGCGAACGGACGAGAAGCUUGCUUCUCUGAUGUUAGCGGCGGACGGGUGAGUAACACGUGGAUAACCUACCUAUAAGACUGGGAUAACUUCGGGAAACCGGAGCUAAUACCGGAUAAUAUUUUGAACCGCAUGGUUCAAAAGUGAAAGACGGUCUUGCUGUCACUUAUAGAUGGAUCCGCGCUGCAUUAGCUAGUUGGUAAGGUAACGGCUUACCAAGGCAACGAUGCAUAGCCGACCUGAGAGGGUUAUCGGCCACACUGGAACUGAGACACGGUCCUGACUCCUGCGGGAGGCAGCAGUAGGGAAUCUUCCGCAAUGGGCGAAAGCCUGUCGGAGCAACGCCGCGUGUGUGAUGAAGGUCUUCGGUUCGUAAACCUCUGUUAUUAGGGAAGAACAUAUGUGUGAGUAACUGUGCACAUCUUGACAGUACCUAAUCAGAAAGCCACGGCUGACUACGUG
rnacentral:rRNA from 1 species